GGGAAACCGGUCCUGCUGUAGCUUUGGCCUGGACUCGGGCGCAUCAUCCGCGGUGUUGUCCCGGUUAGAGACGUCAUUCUCGAUUCGGUAUCGAGACGAAUGGUCCCGGACAGCCGGAAGAUUUUGCUCGGAGGAACUCUGUAUGUUUAAUUCCUGGUGGCAUUAACUCGUUUACAUGACUUCACUUAUACCGAGGAAACAAGGCAAAGAAAAGGUGGCUGCUCUCAAGUCCUAGGUUACGUUUGAACGAAUGACAUAAUGAACAAUAUCUGGAAUCUUAUGCAUGCUGCAGGGGGAGCGGAGAGCGAAAAGGCGCAUACCUUGUAUUGGACAAGGAAGAGACUUCUUCCUAAAGUUGCAAGCCGGUUUUCAGCCCCAACCAGAUUAUCGUACCUUCUGUAUCCG